AACAAUCUAUGUAAACAAAAGGCAAUGAUUCACUGAAAAUAAAGUAAACAUGCCUGCAGGGUUCAGUGAGAAACUAAAAGCAUUGGAUUUGAACCAUGAAGCACAAACAGCUAAGGGUGUGCGAUUUCAGUUUGGAUUCGAAGUUUGUCUAGGAACAAGAACCGAUCCGAAAUUUCAAUAUGGUUCCAAUUCAAUUCUUCG
rnacentral:misc_RNA from 1 species